CUUAACAUUUGUACCCCCAUAAUAUGCUGAAAUAAAAAAAUAAAAAAAAUUCUUUCCUAAACAAUUGGCAAAAGAUAGGGUGAAUCUGAGCUGAUUGUGAUGACUUUCAGGUAGUAGUAGUUUCUUUGGACAGCAGUGCCUUGCCCUUCCCCCAGUGCAAUUCGUUAAAUUGGGUAAAUUGGGCGUUAGUGUUGUGGGAGUGGCUUGGAAAUGAGGGGUGGUCCCAGAACAGCAUGGCAGAACCCGUGGCACUUGCUGCUGCCACUUUGUUAAAGGCAUGGUUUGCUGUUUCCCACUGUCCCCUGUGCUGUGCUUGGGUGUGGCAGCCAAAUGCAAGAACAUUUCCUAGCUCUGGUAAUGACUGCUGCAAUCAGUUGGGAAAAUGCAUGUAGUUCUCAGAUUUGAAUAACGGUAGAGUGUACGUGUUAAAGCCUGGCUCGGUUGUGAGGCUGAGGAGGGUCUGUUGGGAAUAACCAGCCCAAAUGCCAAGGGAGAUGCCAUGCACUCCUCUCUGUCAGCUUCACCCAGGAAGCUGACUCGGGGCUGCUGUGCGGGGAGUUCCUAGCCUGGGCUGGGAACGGCAACCUGGGAAGCACUGCUUGGAAGGGCCAGCUGUGCAGUGAGGUCUCGGUGAGGUCCCCAGCUGCGUCAGCUGCCCGCUCUUCCUGCAGACAGCAAAUUCAGGGAUUCGGAACUCGGGGACUCCCAGGAGUGAGUGCAGUAGCAUCAAAACUGGCUGGAUUGCAUCCCAGUUCUACCCUGUACUAGCGAUGGGACCACAGGGCCACUUCUCUUUCCAGUAAGACACGUGCGUGGCACGUGAAGGAGAGCGAGUGUUUCGGCUUCGUUAUUAAUGAUAGCUUCUCUCCAGCUCACGGAGCCAGAUGUGGCCCAUCGAGCAUGGAGAAAUGGAGCAGCUGGAAGGUUCGCCAGCAGACAGCCGAGCUUUCUACACAGAAGCCGAGGCCGCGAGAGUCCUGAGACCCGCGAUUCUGUUCCUGGUGUGGAGGAGGGGAGCUCUGUGCUCUCUCCAUAUGGAUGACGUGAAAACAAGCUACGCGGCACAAUCACCUGUUGCUUAGUCGUGACGGGUACUUUGAAUUCAAGGAUGAAUUCGCCACCUAUCGAUGUAGCCUAGAAGCAUCGACUAUAAUAAUAGCUUAUGUCCACGGGAGGUGUCUGUGGUCAAUUGCUUUGCUUCAUUUACUCCUUGAAGCAACGCUAAGACUCAUCUCCUUCUCAGCCAGCCGUGAGGACUCUGAGACCUGGAGCACUUUGCUAACUUGCCCGGGACACUCUCCCCCCUGGAGGGAGCAUCUAGAACUGGGGCGUUUGUUGGUCUGGCCCGAAACAUCAUGUUCCUAAUCACCUUGCUGUAUUCCCUCCUCCUUUGUAAGGAGGAAGUAUUUAAACCAAGAACACUUGGAUUUUCCUAGAGGCAGCAGAAGAAUUCACCAUAAUGAACUUCUUUGUGUGUUUAGAGCACCAUGGGGACUGAAUUGAGGAGAGCUUUGAUAUCAGUGCACUUUUUUGUUGUUGUUAGCUUGUAAAAUCUUGUAAAAACCAAGCAUGAGCUUGGUGAGCUCACUGAGACGUGAACCAAGGCCUACGUGUGUGUGUCUGAACGGUGGCGGCUCCUGCUGUGUUUCUGGUAGGAGCCGCCUCUGGGCUCUCUGGAAGGAGGGUCCCCUCACAGAUCCCCACUCCUGGUGGCAUUCCCAGAGCCUGCCACUUGUUCUUAUACUU